rnacentral:rRNA from 1 species
UACAGAGGUCUCAAGCGUUGUUCGGAUUCAUUGGGCGUAAAGGGUGCGUAGGCGGAUUGUUAAGUCAGGGGUGAAAUCCCGGAGCUCAACUCCGGAACUGCCCUUGAAACUGCAGUGCUAGAAUCUUGGAGAGGUGUGUGGAACUCCGAGUGUAGAGGUGAAAUUCGUAGAUAUUCGGAAGAACACCAGUGGCGAAGGCGACACACUGGCCCGUUACUGACGCUGAGGCGCGAAAGCGUGGGGAGCAAACAGG